UCCGGGGCUAAAACUUACUACCGAAGCUACGGCAUCAGUAAUGAUGGGUAGGGGAGCUUCCCAUACGGGUUGAAGCAUGACCGUAAGGACAUGUGGACAGUAUGGGAGGGAGAAUGUUGGCAUGAGUAGCGAGAUGUGGGUGAGAAUCCCACAGGCCGUAAACCCAAGGUUUCCAGGGGAAGGUUCGUCCGCCCUGGGUUAGUCGG
rnacentral:rRNA from 1 species